GGAGAGGUGUCAGAGUGGCCGAACGUGCAAGCUUGGAAAGUUUGUGUACCGCAAGGUACCGCGGGUUCGAAUCCCGCCCUCUCCGCCA
rnacentral:tRNA from 1 species